CCUACGGGUGGCAGCAGCUAAGAAUAUUCCGCAAUGGACGGAAGUCUGACGGAGCGACGCCGCGUGGAUGAAGAAGGCUGAAAAGUUGUAAAAUCCUUUUGUUGAUGAAGAAUAAGGGGAAGAGGGAAUGCUUCUCUGAUGACGGUAGUCGGCGAAUAAGCCCCGGCUAAUUACGUGCCAGCAGCCGCGGUAACACGUAAGGGGCGAGCGUUGUUCGGAAUUAUUGGGCGUAAAGGGCAUGUAGGCGGUUAUGUAAGCCUGAUGUGAAAUCCUGGGGCUUAACCCCAGAAUAGCAUUGGGUACUGUGUAACUUGAAUUACGGAAGGGAAACUGGAAUUCCAAGUGUAGGGGUGGAAUCUGUAGAUAUUUGGAAGAACACCGGUGGCGAAGGCGGGUUUCUGGCCGAUAAUUGACGCUGAGAUGCGAAAGUGUGGGGAUCGAACAGGAUUAGAUACCCCAGUAGUC
rnacentral:rRNA from 1 species